rnacentral:rRNA from 1 species
UACGGAGGGUGCAAGCGUUAUCCGGAUUCACUGGGUUUAAAGGGAGCGCAGGCGGAUUUGUAAGUCAGUGGUGAAAUACCUGAGCUUAACUCGGGAACUGCCAUUGAUACUACAGGUCUUGAAUAUUGUUGAGGUUUGCGGAAUGGGUCAUGUAGCGGUGAAAUGCAUAGAUAUGACCCGGAACACCUAUUGCGAAGGCAGCAGGCUAAACAAUGAUUGACGCUGAGGCUCGAAAGCGUGGGGAUCAAACAGG